rfam:Colletotrichum gloeosporioides Cg-14 contig01035, whole genome shotgun sequence.
GGUCGGUUAGCUCAGUUGGUCAGAGCGUGGUACUAAUAUGUCAUCCAACAUAUUGAGUAAUGCCAAGGUCAUGAGUUCAAGCCUCAUACUGAUCA